UUAUCUGUUCCCCUACUGUUUGCUGACUUUGUGUAACUCAUCUCGGUGAAAGGAAGGCUAUCUUAUCUAAACAUCAAAUUCGACGCGUUUGAAGCUAAUGCACAAAUCAAAACUAACGCGUCGCUGCCAUGUUUUUGGUUCUGCCUGUACAAACAAAGCAGAUAAUUGAGAAUGGGCAUUAAAAAACCAUUAACACCAAAUUUCGAAUGAG